rnacentral:tRNA from 1 species
AUUUAUAUAGUUUAAAAAACAUUACAUUUUCAUUGUAAAGUUGGAUUAUAUCCUGUAAAUA